GGGGAGAUGCCGGAGUGGCCGAACGGGACGGAUUCGAAAUCCGUUGUAUCAGCGAUGGUACCUAGGGUUCGAAUCCCUAUUUCCCCG
rnacentral:tRNA from 1 species